rnacentral:tRNA from 1 species
UCUUAGAUGACUGAGUAUAUAAGUACUAGAUUUUUAAUCUAGAAACGACAGUAUAUGUCUCUAAGAACC